ensembl:snRNA U6 U6 spliceosomal RNA
GUGCUCGCUUCGGCAGCACGUAUACUAGAACCGUAACGAUACAGAGGAAAUUGGCCCCUGCACAAGGAUGACACUCAAAUACAUGAAGCAUUUCAUAUGAAG